GAAUUAUAAUUAUUAUGGAAUAAGGGAUUCAUUACAGUUGGAACAGUAGGCAGAUCCAGGAAACCCAACACCUCCAGCCACCAAGGCGAGGCCAUGAGAGGAGCUCGUGGAGAAGGUGAUGGGAUGCUUUUGCCUCUGUGCAGCUGCCACUUCUCUGGGCCUGCAGCCACACCUGGAGGUGGGCGUUGGGCAGUUGUUGGUCAGCAAGCCCUGCGACUGGGAAGAUGAGCUGGACACAGAGCAGAAGAGAGUGAGGACAAGCUGGGAUGCUCCAGGUACCUCUGUGUCUGCCCAUCACUAUAUCUGAUUGCAAUGACCUCCCAAGAAUAGUGACAGCUGCUUCACUUCCUCCUUUCAAAUCUUGUGCAAGACAGUUUCCCUGUUGAUAGUUGCCUAUAGAGAGGUCUUAAUUGGCAGAGAACUGAAGGAGACCUCUUGCCAAUAGCCUGUGAGACCCUCACUCCAACCUGCCAGGAACUGAAUCCUACCAACAGCCACAUGGGAUCUAGGCCAGGAUCCCACAUUCCAAAGCAGCCUUUUGUCACGGUGUAAGGAACAGCAAUCCCUCUCCGUACCCGAGGCCAGUGGCUCUCAAAAUUGAGAGUCCAGAGAACUACCAGGGAUUUUGUUUAAAGGGCAUGUCCUUCCCUAGACAUUCGGAUUCAGGAGUUCAGGGAAGACUCCAGCCCUCCGCCACUCCCUAUACCCCCCUCCAGCAAAUUGAGGACAAGUGGAAAGGAACGAGGCAGUUCACCCAGGCUUCCAGAUGCCCAGUCACCUCCAGCUCUGGAGGGAAGGGUGGAGUGCAGUGUCUCUCAGAGGAAACUGAGGCACAGACAAAUCAGCUUGCCUGAGGUCUCUCAGCAGCACGUGGCAGGACAGUGGAUGUAUCUGACAUGGAACUUCUCACUGUGUGCCUCAAGCAUACCGUGCUCAAGCACACCUCUCAGCCUGCAUCCAGGCUGCUCCCCUGCCCGGAUGGCCUUCCCCCCUCCCAGCGUCUUGUCCACCUGAUGAACAGCUGCAGAAGACCUGACCUCCAAGGC